GGCUCACCGGAUUCCCUUUUAAGCGGUGCAUCCCUGUGCGGCUGCUGGAUUUGUGGCGUCGAGGUUUGAGGUCUGAAGCAGCGCCGAAUCUCAAACUUACCUUUUGUUGGCAUCGCAGAUUUCGGUCUUCCAGGAGUGACAGAAGCGAAAUGGAGACGAAUGAGAAGAACGCCGCUGAUUUGGAGGACAAGAACCAGCCCAGCGGGCACGGCCAGCAGCCGAGCUUCCACGGGCCCGGGUUCUCGCUCUCGCCGGAAGCUCAGAUGGAUUCUUCCAGCAGUGCGCUGGCCGCCAUGGGGAACCCGUUCCCUCCUGGCUUGUGGAACCCACCUGGCCAGAACUUCGGGCUGGGGGAGACCAACACUAACGCUAUGCUUAAUGGGCACCAGUUCUCCUCGUUCUUGGGGAUGCUGUCAGCAGCGACGCCCGCAUAUCCCGGCGCCCAGUCGGGGUUCAUGGAUUGUGGGGCAGGGUUUCCUGGCUUAAGUGCAAACAGUCUUGGAGCCAUGAUGGAUCACCCUUUUUCUAGGAACCCUGCUAUGGGUAGUUUCCAAAACGAUAUUGAGACGUCUAGGGAGAUGAAUGUGGACGAAGGUUGCAAGGAUGCAUUAUUGACCGGUGAUAGGCAGCAAGGAGACACCGAGAGUUCACAUGGUGUUGAUGCCUCUAGCAAGGAGUUAAGCAAGCCGGAGUGCAGUGGUGGCGCUGGUCAGGAUGAAGGGCCUAGUGUCUCUUGUCCCAAGAAGAGGAAAAGACCAAGCCAGGAUCGUGGGGUGAAGCAUGUACAAGAAGGGAGCCAGCAAUUGGCAACUCUGGCUGCAAAGCAGGAGAAAGAUGACGACGACAAAGAUGAACCAAAGAGGCCUGUUGGGACAUCCAGAAAGUCCAACGGGAAGCAAACUGAGGAUAAAUCUGAUGCGCCAAAGGAAGAUUACAUUCAUAUAAGAGCUCGAAGUGGCCAGGCUACAAACAGCCAUAGUCUUGCAGAAAGGGUUCGGAGGGAAAAGAUUAGUGAAAGGAUGAAAUUUCUUCAGGACCUUGUUCCUGGUUGUAGUAAAGUCAUUGGUAAGGCCGUUAUGCUGGAUGAGAUAAUCAAUUAUGUUCAAUCAUUACAGCGGCAAGUUGAGUUUUUGUCGAUGAAACUUUCAGCUGUCAAUCCAGCACUAGACUUCAACAUAGAGCGCAUUCUAUCUAAGGAUUUAUUUCAGUCUCAAGGAACUGCAUCGUCUACCUUUGGCUUCUUACCAGACAUUGGCCAUCAAUUUUUGCAUCCACCAAAACAUUCUCAAGCUGCGUUGCACAGCAUUGUAAAUCCCGCCGAUGCAUUUGGAAGGGUAACAAAUGCUCCGGUAGGAUGUACAUUCAAAGAGGCCACACAUCAGGUGCCCAAUAAUUUUGAUGGAGAGUUCCACAACGUGAUUGGGAUGCCUUUUACCCUGUUUAAUGACCAUGAAUCAAAUGAUAAACCUUGAGCAAUAGAUUCCGCAACCGAAGCAAGAAAUCAUAACGGGCCAAGAGAUUUCAACAGAACAACAUGUGAGCUUGUUGACACUGUUCCACUAGCUCGCAUUUGAGCACUGAAGUAUAUCCAUCCAAAUUGCUUAAUUGUUGAUUUCCCAAUAUUGGAAUCAGCACUUGAGAUAUCCUAUAGAGGCCCUUUCCUCAGAUGUACCAUUUGCUAUUGGAGGAAGCUGGAGAUCCGACUCUCGGGACGUCCACAUGGAGAUUUCAAGCUUUACAUUCUCCUCUGAAAAUUUACGUGUAUAACUAUUGGUGAUUCAACAAUCUUUGCAUCAUGAUGGUGAGUUCCAUUUUGCCAGAAGGUGGCUGUAUCUGGGUACCAUCUAGUUCAGACCCAGUAAUAUUGUAAAAUGCUCUCUUUCUGCAAGAUUCACACUCCGCGGUAUAAUAUAACAGCCUUUGGUUUGUUAGUUGCUAGUAUCGUGAGAGUGAAAGAAGAAUCUUUGUUGUACUUCUAUGGCUGCGCAUGCAACCAUAUAGAACUGUGUACUGGUUUUCGAUUUCUUGAGAAUAUUAUGAGUGUAUUUUCAGC
rnacentral:rRNA from 1 species